rnacentral:misc_RNA from 1 species
GAUGAAGAACGUAGUGAAAUGCGAUAAGUAAUGUGAAUUGCAGAAUUCAGUGAAUCAUCGAAUCUUUGAACGCACAUUGCGCCCGCCAGUAUUCUGGCGGGCAUGCCUGUCCGAGCGUCAUUUCAACCCUCAAGCCCCCGGGCUUGGUGUUGGAGAUCGGCGAGCCCCCCGGGGCGCGCCGUCUCCCAAAUAUAGUGGCGGUCCCGCUGUAGCUUCCUCUGCGUAGUAGCACACCUCGCACUGGGAAACAGCGUGGCCACGCCGUAAGACCCCCCACUUCUGAAAGGUUGACCUCGGAUCAGGUAGGAAUACCCGCUGAACUUAAGCAUAUCAAUAAGCGGAGGA